UACGGCCAGAUUAUGUUGAAACUUCGGUUUCCGCACGAUCACCGAAGUUAAGAAACGUUGAGCCAGGUCAGUACUUAGAAGAGUGACCACUUGGGAAUACCAGGUACUGUA